GACGAACCGUGCGAACGUUGUUCGGAAUCACUGGGCUUAAAGGGUGCGUAGGCGGCCUAGCAAGUCGGGUGUGAAAGCCCUCGGCUCAACCGAGGAAUUGCGUCCGAAACUGCUUGGCUCGAGGGAGAUAGGGGCGCGUGGAACUUCGGGUGGAGCGGUGAAAUGCGUUGAGAUCCGAAGGAACACCGGUGGCGAAAGCGACGCGCUGGGUCUCCUCUGACGCUGAGGCACGAAAGCUAGGGUAGCGAACGGG
rnacentral:misc_RNA from 1 species